UUUUACCGUUAACAGAAUUCUCUCCCCAAAUCUGAUACUCUGAGUAACCGACUCCCCAUAUUUCAGGGAGCAUUUUAUCUGAGUUUGAACGUUCGUUCACAUGUCAUUUUUCAGACUUCUUGACUCCGUCACUCUCUCCGCUCACAGAGAGAGAGAGAGAGAGAGCCCAAACAGCAAUUUUAGUGGCAGCCUCCAUCAACCCUUUUGCAGAGCUCAAACAUCUCUCUAAGGUCGUCCUUUUCAUCUUGGCCAUCGAACAUUUUCAAACUUCAAUAACAGUUGGACAAGUAUAUCAUCCUUUUCGGACUUUGUCAGGCCAAAUCUGAUAGCUUCUCUUAUGUUGUGGUCCUUUAACCUGAUCUGAUCGCGUCCAUCUUUUGCUGGAGAAAUUUGUGGAGAGGAAGGAACAAAAGCAGCAGGAAACCAUUCUCGAGUUAUUCUGUACUAGCUCCACCCUGCUCAGCAGAAGACAGGAGAUAUAAAGACGUAUUCAUUCUUCAGCAGAAUGUCCAGCAAGUAUCACAUGGAAUUAGAAUCUUCUCGGUCGUUCAAGUCCAAGUCUAGCUCCCCAACAGAAGUUCGGCUCAUAAUUGGCAAUGUCCCUUUCACUUUGCACAGAGAACUUCUUUCAGCGAGAUCAGCAAAGCUUGCUUCUUUAUUCGAGGAGAAUAAGGUCUCUUAUGUCCUUCGGGACAUUCCAGCUGACCCAGAAACCUUUGAGCUCGUGGCGAGAUUUUGUCAUGGGUUCGAUCCUCAGCUUUCCGCUGAAAAUAUCCUGCCCCUCAUUUGCCUUGCUUCCCAUCUGGGAAUGACCGAGGAUCACUGCAACAACAACUUACUUAGGGAGGCCCUUGAUUUCUUUGAAAAUAAAACCCUCCCGAGCUGGAAUGAGACCAUCAGAGCCCUGCUACUAUCAGACAGAGUCAUCCCCCCCGCUGCUAGCCUCGGGCUGAUAGAUGCUUGCCUGGAGUCGAUCACUGCAAAGGCGAUAAUGGACCCUCGACUUCUUGGGAAGCCAAUCAAGAACUUGAGAUCAGAUGGCUGCAGUGAGGAGGUGGAUGAGGAAGACGAGUGUAAACCGAAUGCAAGGAGAAAGCUCUUUGUUCACGAUUGGCAGUCUGAGGAUUUGACGACCCUGCCUGUGCAUUUUUAUGAGCCCAUCAUUGAGGCCAUGAAACUUCAUGGAGUUCCUCUGGACUAUGUGGCUGCUUCUCUCUGUGAAUAUGCGAGGAGGUGGGUUUUCAAUGGCUUUUCUGAAGGGGAAGAAACUAAAUUUUCAGUUUAUAAGAAGAAUUCUCCUCGAGAAGCUAUUGAAGUGAUAGAGAGACUCCUGCCUGAAGAAAGGGGUCUAAUCCAGUGCCCUCUAUUGUUUGAAAUGCUAAGGUAUUCAAUUUCCCUAGAAGCAAGCUCCAACUGUAGGGAUGGUUUGGAGGUCAGGAUCGCUCAACAGCUCGAUCAGGCAACAGUCAAAGACCUCCGCAUACCAUUUAAAGGCUAUGCUAAGGGAGCAAAGUACGAUAUUGGGUGUGUGAAGAGGAUACUGAAGAACUUCUACGGCAGAGUUACAGGUUCAGGCGCGCUGGGAAUCACGAGAGUGGCAGAUCUCAUAGAAGAUUUCCUCGCUGAGGUGGCAGCUGAUGUAGAUUUGGAGAUGAACACCUUUGUAUCCUUAGCAGAGAUGUCCGUUGCAGCUUCUUUGGGUAGUGAUCGGAGCUCUGAUGGAAUCUACAAAGCUAUUGAUAUUUACCUGGACAAGCACAGAUACCUGACAGAAUCGGAGAGAGAAGAGGUUUGUCGGGUUUUGGACUGUCAGAAGAUGUCACAGGAAGCAUGCGAGCAUGCCGCACAGAACGAGAGACUGCCUCUGAGAGUUGUGGUUCAGGUUCUGUUCAUCGAGCAGCUGAAGCUGCGAGAUGCAGUCACCAAGGAGGUCUCUAGCGGGAUAGAGAACCGUUCAAGAAAUGAGAGUGAAGAAGAGGAAGGCGAUGGGAUAGUGACCUGCAGAGAGGAAGAGCUGAGGGGCGAGAUGAUGAGGAUGAACAACAAGGUGGUGGAGCUUGAGAGGGAGUGCGGAAUCAUGAGGAAGGAGAUUGAGAAUAACGGGAAUCGAAGAGGUGCCACGAAGAAGCACAAAUUAAGCGUGUGGGGCGAGAUCAAGAGGAAGUUCGGGUGCAUCAGCAGCGCGCAUGACUACAAAUGCCAAGUGCAGAAGAAGAAAAAGGACACACGGUGAAAGAAUUUCCAUCACAUUCGAUUUUCUUGUUCUAGUUAUUCAGCUUCAACACCACACAUUAAAACGAUGAUAUGUUUCGGCUCGUUCUCUUUUCGGGUGAAAAAUGCCAGCACAUCAGAAACAGGAAUCCGGUUUUCGAAUUUGAAAUGUAUCUUGCAAUGAUUCGAUUACAAGACGGAGAGCUCUGCAUCGUUCAAUGCGCUUGGUCCAUUGUUGUUGUGUUCUCGUCCUGCUCCUCCUCCGCCCCCUGUUGACCCGUCUCCUCCUGACAACCUGUUCU